rnacentral:rRNA from 1 species
AGUGAACGCUGGCGGUAGGCCUAACACAUGCAAGUCGAACGGCAGCACAGUAAGAGCUUGCUCUUACGGGUGGCGAGUGGCGGACGGGUGAGGAAUACAUCGGAAUCUACUUUUUCGUGGGGGAUAACGUAGGGAAACUUACGCUAAUACCGCAUACGACCUACGGGUGAAAGCAGGGGAUCUUCGGACCUUGCGCGAUUGAAUGAGCCGAUGUCGGAUUAGCUAGUUGGCGGGGUAAAGGCCCACCAAGGCGACGAUCCGUAGCUGGUCUGAGAGGAUGAUCCGCCCCCCUGGAACUUAGACACCGUCCCGACCCCUACGGGGAGCAGGAGUUGGGAAUAUUGGACCAUUGGCGGAAGCCUUAUACAGCCAAACCCCGGGGGUUAAGGAGGGCCUCGGGUUGUAAAACCCUUUUUUUUGGAAAGAAAAACCACAGGUUAAUACCCCGCUGUUCUGACGGUACCCAAAGAAUAAGCACCGGCUAACUUCGUG